GGUGUGGUGGCUUAGUGGUAAAGCACUUAGCCUCCAAACUAAGGGGUCCAGGAUUCGAAUCUUGAUCAAGACUG
rnacentral:tRNA from 1 species